rnacentral:lncRNA from 1 species
UAAAAGAGGGUCACUGGGUCACGUUAUUGGUUUCUAAAAUGGAGUUUGCAAAGAGAAAUAUGGACUAAAAAUUUGGACUUUAGGAUUGACCAUUUAACUUGUCACUCCAUUUGAAUCUGACACCCCCCAAACUCAAUGAAUUUACUAUAUUAACCAUCAAUUUGUCAAUUAUUUUUUAAAAUCCACUCAGAUUUUGUGCAGAUUACAAAAC